GCCGUCGUGGCUCAGUGGCAGAGCAUCUUCUUGGUAAGAAGAAGGCCAUGGGUUCGAUUCCCAUCGACGGCU
rnacentral:tRNA from 1 species